rnacentral:rRNA from 1 species
ACAGCAGUAGCCACGGGAAUACGUAGGGUGCAAGCGUUAAUCGGAAUUAUUGGGCGUAAAGGGUGCGUAGGCGGUUUGAUAAGUCUUGUGUGAAAUCUAUGGGCUCAACCCAUAGUCUGCACAGGAAACUGUCGGGCUUGAGAGUGGGAGAGGUGAGUGGAAUUUCCGGUGUAGCGGUGAAAUGCGUAGAUAUCGGAAGGAACACCUGUGGCGAAAGCGGCUCACUGGACCAUUUCUGACGCUGAUGCACGAAAGCUAGGGGAGCAAAUGGGAUUAGAUACCCCAGUAGUCCCUGUCUCUUAUAC